rnacentral:ncRNA from 2 species
ACGAGCACCGGCGAUGGGGCCCGCCCGGAAGUCUGACUUCCGAACCGCCGCAAGGAUGAUGGCCUCUGCGAACGA